rnacentral:misc_RNA from 1 species
CCCUCACUUUCAUGAUCGAACACAAUUUCAGAAGACAGAAUUUAUUUCUGAUGGCCUCAGUGAUUUCAAUAAUUAUUUGCUGAAAUAUCUUGAUAAAAAAUGAGACAAAAUUUUUUUCCGCUUAUUGAAAAGAAUAUCCCAGAGAAUUCAACUGUGAUUAAGAAUGUUGGAAACCUGAUAAAUUUGACUACGCAAACUUGCUGGAUGUGAUAUCCUGAAAGAAAAAUGGGUCAACGAUAAGUUUGUGUAACGCGAUCUUUCCUUAAUCAUAAAAUGUAUUUUAUAAAAACAAAACAAUUCAAGGAACAGUCAGGAUUUAACAACAAUUUACCAAUGCGGGUUUUAUUUCAGAUAUGCUUGAGUGUGAAAAGAUUGAAUUUAUUUUGAUUAUUUUGUGUGUUUCGUUUGUGCCUUCCAAUGUGUGUUUUGUUUUAUUUCUGAAAAGAAAUACUUCUAGUCAUCUUUGGAUGUUUGGCGAAUUCAAUACUAUUGAAGUUUCAUAAGAGACAAGGCUGGCUCACAUGAAGCAUUUUAUGAAAAAGAAACAAACUUUUAUUUUAAUAGCAUUUAACAUUGAAAUACGUUUACUGUUGAAUUUUUAUAUUAGAAUAUGCAAAACCCUGUUUAACAUUGAAAACAUCAGUACAAUACUUCUUUUAUUUUUGUCGUUUUCACAAAGAUCUAAAAUACGCAGGUAGAGCUUUAUUUUCUUCCUGACUGUUAACGAAAAUGUAAAAUUCCU